UACGAAGGGGGCUAGCGUUGCUCGGAAUUACUGGGCGUAAAGGGCGCGUAGGCGGUGUGUCAAGUCAGGCGUGAAAGCCCCGGGCUCAACCUCGGAAUGGCCUUCAAGACUGCUGGUCUUGAGUUCGAGAGAGGUGAGUGGAAUUCCGAGUGUAGAGGUGAAAUUCGUAGAUAUUCGGAGGAACACCAGUGGCGAAGGCGGCUCACUGGCUCGACACUGACGCUGAGGUGCGAAAGCGUGGGGAGCAAACAGG
rnacentral:rRNA from 1 species